AUUGAACGCUGGCGGCAGGCCUAACACAUGCAAGUCGAGCGGAUGAGAAGAGCUUGCUCUUCGAUUCAGCGGCGGACGGGUGAGUAAUGCCUAGGAAUCUGCCUGGUAGUGGGGGACAACGUUUCGAAAGGAACGCUAAUACCGCAUACGUCCUACGGGAGAAAGCAGGGGACCUUCGGGCCUUGCGCUAUCAGAUGAGCCUAGGUCGGAUUAGCUAGUUGGUGAGGUAUUGGCUCACCAAGGCGACGAUCCGUAACUGGUCUGAGAGGAUGAUCAGUCACACUGGAACUGAGACACGGUCCAGACUCGUACGGGAGGCAGCAGUGGGGAAUAUUGGACAAUGGGCGAAAGCCUGAUCCAGCCAUGCCGCGUGUGUGAAGAAGGUCUUCGGAUUGUAAAGCACUUUAAGUUGGGAGGAAGGGCAGUAAGUUAAUACCUUGCUGUUUUGACGUUACCGACAGAAUAAGCACCGGCUAACUCUGUGCCAGCCGCCGCAGUAACAC
rnacentral:rRNA from 1 species